rnacentral:rRNA from 1 species
GACGAACGCUGGCGGCGUGCCUAAUACAUGCAAGUCGAGCGGAUCCUCAUUAGCUUGCUUUUGAAGAUCAGCGGCGGACGGGUGAGUAACACGUGGGUAACCUACCUGUAAGACUGGGAUAACUUCGGGAAACCGGAGCUAAUACCGGAUAAUCCUUUUCCUCUCAUGAGGAAAAGCUGAAAGACGGUUUCGGCUGUCACUUACAGAUGGGCCCGCGGCGCAUUAGCUAGUUGGUGAGGUAACGGCUCACCAAGGCGACGAUGCGUAGCCGACCUGAGAGGGUGAUCGGCCACACUGGGCCUGAGAAACGGCCCAGACUCCUACGGGAGUCAGCAGUAGGGAAUCUUCCGCAAUGGACGAAAGUCUGACGGAGCAACGCCGCGUGAGCGAUGAAGGCCUUCGGGUCGUAAAGCUCUGUUGUCAGGGAAGAACAAGUACCGGAGUAACUGCCGGUACCUUGACGGUACCUGACCAGAAAGCCACGGCUAACUACGUGCCAGCAGCCGCCGUAAUAC